UUGGAAAAGCGGGCAAUAGCGUUUCAAUUUAUUGAGAUGAGGAAAGUCCGAACUCCACAGGACAGCGUGCUUCCUAACAGGAAGGCAGUAAACCCCAAAAAGGUGAGCUGACGGACAGUGCAACAGAAAGAAUACCGCCAAUCCGUCCCUAACAGGAGUCAUGGAGGUAAGGUUGAAACGGUGAGGUAAGAGCUCACCAGAAGUUCGGGUAACCGAAUUUGCUAUGUAAACCCCACGCGGAGCAAAGCCAAAUAAGAAUGCGUCUGAGGACUGUCCGUCCUAUGCUUUUUUUAGCAACGUAUUCGGGUAGGCUGCACGAGGGCAAUGGCAACAUUGCUCCCAGAUAAAUUAUUGCCUCGGGUCAAACCAAGACAGAAUUCGGCUUACAGCUUUUUCAAGAGC
rnacentral:RNase_P_RNA from 1 species